GAUGUAGUUCACAAAUGGACCUUCGAGGAUUCCUGGUCACUGAAUUCCUGUAAGACCACUCUCUCCCACCAGUCUUGGCUGCAGACUCGCAUCCAAAUUCCUCUUGUUUGCGGCGGAGCUUAAGAUGGAGAAGCUGAAUGCGGUGGGCUGGAAGCCCAUCCUCCUUCUGGAAUAUCCGAAGAAGGAGGCAAGGAUGCUCCUCCCAGAAGGCCUCGUUCCAAGUGUGGGGGGAAAGGAAAUGUCUCGAUGACAUUGAAGAAAUGUACACCUUCAUGAUUGAAGUCCGUUACCCAAGACCCACCACAACAACAAGCUCUUUCAGAAACUCUCCUUUCAGCCAGCCCCACCACCACCACCACCACCACCACCACCACCAUUGAGGGCCCAGAGACUGGGGUUAAACCUGAGACGGUGGAGACUGUCCUGUCAGCCAGCCCUACCACCAACAACUGGGGGACAGAGCCUGGCAACAAACGGAAGAGACGCCCAAGUACAAAAGUGGACACUCUCCCGACAACAAGCCCUACCACCACCAACAGGGGGACAGAGACUGGCAACAAACGAAAAAGACACCCAAGCACAAAAGUGAAGAAGGUUCUGUCCACAAGCCCCAACACCACCACCAACGGGGGGCGAGAGACUGAGACAGUGGAGACUGUCCUGUCAGCCAGCCCUGCCAUCACCACCAACGACUGGCAAAAUACAAAACAGACGCCCAAGGACACACAACCAAUACCACCCCUCCCCCCACCUAUACUCCACAGUUGUACUUAAAAAGGACUUGACAAUGUUUUCUUAAAAAUGUGUUUUUUAUACAGUGUUUUAUUCUGUAUUUAUACUAUUCCUUGUGUGACUGUUUGUGUGAGCAUUGUUUUAGAGGCUGCAUAAACAGAUUUCAUUGUACGGUUUUAUUGCACAAUGACAAUAAAGAAUAAACAUGC
ensembl:lncRNA